rnacentral:lncRNA from 1 species
GGGUAAUGAGUGUAUUGAGUUUCGUAUCUUUUCUUGGUCCGUAGAGGAUUUCUCCCUCUACACAUACCUACCGCAGCACUGCUGAGUAGCUAUAUCCAAGGGGAACGACUGACUAUUCCUGAUCAAUUCAUUUUAUUCAGAAGGGUGGGAGCGAAAGACAGAGAGAUUUCGCUGACAACAAAAGUCUUCCUCCUCCGAGUUAGAUCCUGAUUCUCAAUCCUUGCAACAUGUAAUGUAAGAUGAUAAUAAGAGGCCCAUGUCCGAAGAUGAAAUAGCUGAUUCCAAUUCAUACACAAAAAUUUUUCCGAGAAUUGGUGCCGCCGGCCUUUUUCUUGAGCCGGAUCGAGAGCAGCUUGUGCAAACUGAUUCCUUCCAACACACCAAUCAAUAGCUGGACGCCUCGCCACCACCAGGCAUACAUUUUGCUAUCUCCUCUCUGUGCAGGAUGAAUGAUACGUGGCCGUAAAUGGCACCCGUAAUAUUCCCUCCUGCAUUGUCAACCCCACGUAAAACCCUAACGCUAUCACCAGGCAUAUCUAAAAGCAAGAAACAUUGACAGGUCCAAAAAAAAAAAAAAGAGAGAGAGAGAGAGAGAAUAGAAUAGCUAAUUAGCAUAUUAAUUUCUUCUAUUGGGCUAGGCCGUACGAAUAUCUCUUAAUUUAUUCUUGUCAAGGGCCAUCUCAAAUUUAAGUGACCGACUUGAUUA